rnacentral:rRNA from 1 species
AGAGUUUGAUCCUGGCUCAGGACGAACGCUGGCGGCGUGCUUGAUACAUGCAAGUCAAGGAGAACAUUAUCUUCGGAUAAUAAGUAAACUGGCGAACGGGUGAGUAACGCGUAAACAACUUGCCUCAGAGAUUGGGACAACAUUGGGAAACCAGUGCUAAUACCAAAUAAUGCAGCGGGCUCUUCGGAGCACAGUUGUUAAAGUAGGCUUCGGCUUACACUUUGAGAUAGGUUUGCGUCCGAUUAGUUAGUUGGUAGGGUAAAAGCCUACCAAGACCAAGAUCGGUAGCUGGUCUGAGAGGAUGAUCAGCCACACUGGAAUUGAGAUACGGUCCAGACUCCUACGGGAGGCAGCAGUAAGGAAUUUUGCACAAUGGGCGAAAGCCUGAUGCAGCAACGCCGCGUGAACGAUGAAGUUUUUAGGAAUGUAAAGUUCUGUCGUAUGGGAAGAGAUCUUUCGAAUGUUAAUACCAUUCGUUAAUGACGGUACCAUUCAAGAAAGCACCGGCUAACUUCGUGCCAGCAGCCGCGGUAAUACGAGGGGUGCUAGCGUUGUCCGGAUUUACUGGGCGUAAAGGGUACGUAGGCGUUUUAAUAAGUUGAAUGUUAAAUAUCUUAGCUUAACUAAGAAAAUGCAUUCAAAACUGUUAAAAUAGAGUUUGAGAGAGGAACGCAGAAUUCAUGGUGGAGCGGUGACAUGCGUAGAUAUCAUGAGGAAAGUCAAAUGCGAAGGCAGCCUUCUGGCUCAAAACUGACGCUGAGGUACGAAAGCGUGGGGAGCGAACAGGAUUAGAUACCCUGGUAGUCCACGCCGUAAACGAUGAGUAUUUGGUGCUGGGGGAUUCGACCCUUUCAGUGCCGUAGCUAACGCGAUAAAUACUCCGCCUGGGGACUACGAUCGCAAGAUUGAAACUCAAAGGAAUUGACGGGGACCCGCACAAGCGGUGGAACAUGUGGUUUAAUUCGAUGAUACGCGAAGAACCUUACCUGGGUUUGACAUGUUAGUGAAAGUUUUCUGAAAAGAAUUCCCUUUAAGAGCUUGCUCUUAAACACUAUCACAGGUG